UUUCUGUGCCAGCAGCAGCGGUAAUACAGAAAAUGCAAGCGUUAUUCAUUUUAUUAGGCGUAAAGCGUUUUAAGGUUUUAUAUUAAUUUUAUGUUUAAAUAUUUAAAUUAAAUUUAAAAUAAAUUAAUAAAUAAUAAUAUAAUAGAGUAUUAUAAAAGUAUUAAGAAUUUUUUGAGAAGUAGUGAAAUACAAUGAUACAAAAAAGAAUAUCAAAGGCGAAAGCAUAAUACUAUAUAAUUACUGACACUUAAAAACGAAAGCUAAGGUAGCAAAUAGGAUUAGAUACCCUAGUAGUCUUAGCUGUAAACUAUGAAUAUUUUAUAUUUAUAUUUUAUAAAUAUAAUAACUAACGUGAUAAAUAUUCCGCCUGAGUAGUAUAUUCGCAAGAAUGAAAUUCAAAGGAAUUGACGGGAGCUUAUACAAGUGGUGGAACAUGUGGCUUAAUUCGAUGCAACACGAUAAACCUUACCAAAAUUUAACAAUAUUUUUAAUAUUAAGAAAUUAAUAUUUUAAUAAAAUAUAUAGGUAGUGCAUGGCUGUCGUCAGUUCGUGCUGUGAAGUGUUAAUUUUAGUAUUAUAACGAACGUAACCUUUUAUAAAAAAAAUUUUUAUAAUAAAUAAUAAUAAAGAUUACGUCAAGUCAUUAUGCUCCUUAUAUUUUGGGCUGCUCACGUGUUACAUAAAAUAUUACAAUAUUUUAUUAUAUGUUAAAUAUAAUAAUUAAAAUAUAUUUAUAGUUCAGAUUAUAAAUUGAAACUCAUUUAUAUAAAGAUGGAAUCACUAGUAAUCGCUAAUCAGAAUUAUAGCGGUGAAUAAGUUCUUAAGCUUUGUACACACCGCCCGUCACAUCUAAAAAGUAUCAUAUUAUAUAAAAAUUAUUGUUAAAUAAUAAUAUAUAAUUAUAUAAUUUAGAUGAAGUCGUAACAAGGUAGCCGUACUGGAAGGUGCGGCUG
rnacentral:rRNA from 1 species